CCUACGGGCGGCAGCAGUGGGGAAUAUUGCACAAUGGGGGGAACCUUGAUGCAGCAACGCCGCGUGGGUGAAGGAGUACUCCGGUAUGUAAAGCCCUGUCAGCAGGGAAGAAAAUGACGGUACCUGACCAAGAAGCCCCGGCUAACUACGUGCAAGCAGCCGCGGUAAUAAGAAGGGGGCAAGCGUUAUCCGGAUUUACUGGGUGUAAAGGGGGCGUAGACGGCAAGGCAAGUCUGGAGUGAAAGCCCGUGGCCCAACCACGGGACUGCUUUGGAAACUGUGUUGCUGGAGAGCAGGAGGGGUAAGCGGAAUUCCGGGUGUAGCGGUGAAAUGCGUAGAUAUUAGGAGGAACACCGGUGGCGAAGGCGGCUUACUGGACUGUAACUGACGUUGAGGCUCGAAGGCGUGGGGAGCAAACAGGAUUAGAUACCCUUGUAGUC
rnacentral:rRNA from 1 species